rnacentral:rRNA from 1 species
UACAGAGGGGGGCAAGCGUUGUUCGGAAUUACUGGGCGUAAAGGGCGCGUAGGCGGCCUUCUAAGUCGAACGUGAAAUCCCCGGGCUCAACCCGGGAACUGCGUCCGAUACUGGAAGGCUUGAAUCCGGGAGAGGGAUGUGGAAUUCCAGGUGUAGCGGUGAAAUGCGUAGAUAUCUGGAGGAACACCGGUGGCGAAGGCGACAUCCUGGACCGGUAUUGACGCGUGAGGCGCGAAAGCCCAGGGG